CUCAGGGAGGCACAGAGGGAAGGCAGCCGUGGGAAGGAGGAGGUGGAGAUGGGAGUGACGCAACUAUGAGCCCAGAGUCACCCAGCAGUGCCGGGACCACCAGCAGUUAGGAGAGCGGCAUGGGAGCUUUCUCCCCAAGUCUUCAGAAGGAACCAGUUCUGCCAGCACCUUGAUUUUGGACCUCUGACCUCCAGCACUGGUUGCGUGUCAGUUACAGUUGUCAUUUGUAAGCAGUAGAAUCCGGUCUGACCAGUUUAAGCAGAAAAGAACUUAGGAGAGACAGAAGGGAGUUCACACAACGUUUGGGACAGAUGGGAAAAGAGGCCUGAGACAAUGAAAGGGACACUCCCAGAACCAACUGACCCUUUCCGGAAUCUGCUGCCCACCCCGGGACCACACCGCCUUUGCCCAGAAUGCGCCACUGAAAUGACAGCGGCUCCCGGAGACGCGCAGCCAGCCAGCUCCCUCCCGCGGCCCGAGGCCCCCGUGUCUGAUUGGCAGGCCUGGUCACGUGCCCGCAUUUUGGCUGGGAAAGAGUCAGGGAAGGCACCGAUUCAGAUUCUCCCUUGGGGAAACAACUAAAAUGCACGCAAGGUGGCCUAAAAAGCUUGGCAGAUUCACUUUGGGCCAUAAAGAUAUUCUUCAAACUUAAAAAUAAAAAAAUAAAAAUAAAAGAAACUAAACUAAAAAAUAUCUUCAUGAACAACAUACAGUUAUGCUUUGUCUUAUUUAAAAAUUUUCCAUACAUAGAAUUAUGAUAUUCACAUUCGAUGAAAUUUUGCAUUCAAGAUGUGGUUGAGGUCUCACGUCUCAGUAGUGUUUAGUUGCG
rnacentral:lncRNA from 10 species